rnacentral:rRNA from 1 species
AUUGAACGCUGGCGGCAGGCCUAACACAUGCAAGUCGAACGGUAACAGGAAGCAGCUUGCUGCUUCGCUGACGAGUGGCGGACGGGUGAGUAAUGUCUGGGAAGCUGCCUGAUGGAGGGGGAUAACUACUGGAAACGGUAGCUAAUACCGCAUAAUGUCGCAAGACCAAAGAGGGGGACCUUCGGGCCUCUUGCCAUCGGAUGUGCCCAGAUGGGAUUAGCUUGUUGGUGGGGUAACGGCUCACCAAGGCGACGAUCCCUAGCUGGUCUGAGAGGAUGAUCAGCGACACGGGAACUGAGACACGGACAAGACUCCUACGGGAGGCAGCAGUGGGGAAUAUUGCACAAUGGGCGCAAGCCUGAUGCAGCCAUGCCGCGUGUAUGAAGAAGGCCUUCGGGUUGUAAAGUACUUUCAGCGGGGAGGAAGGGAGUACAGUUAAUACCUUUGCUCAUUGACGGUACCCGCAGAAGAAGCACCGGCUAACUCCGUG